rnacentral:rRNA from 1 species
GGCGUGCCUAAUACAUGCAAGUCGAGCGAAUGGAUUAAGAGCUUGCUCUUAUGAAGUUAGCGGCGGACGGGUGAGUAACACGUGGGUAACCUGCCCAUAAGACUGGGAUAACUCCGGGAAACCGGGGCUAAUACCGGAUAACAUUUUGAACCGCAUGGUUCGAAAUUGAAAGGCGGCUUCGGCUGUCACUUAUGGAUGGACCCGCGUCGCAUUAGCUAGUUGGUGAGGUAACGGCUCACCAAGGCAACGAUGCGUAGCCGACCUGAGAGGGUGAUCGGCCACACUGGGACUGAGACACGGCCCAGACUCCUACGGGAGGCAGCAGUAGGGAAUCUUCCGCAAUGGACGAAAGUCUGACGGAGCAACGCCGCGUGAGUGAUGAAGGCUUUCGGGUCGUAAAACUCUGUUGUUAGGGAAGAACAAGUGCUAGUUGAAUAAGCUGGCACCUUGACGGUACCUAACCAGAAAGCCACGGCUAACUACGUGCCAGC